rnacentral:lncRNA from 1 species
UCUAUGUGCGAAUGUGCGAUAUUUGUAUAAGGUGGUAGAACGUAUGAGGCCUUGUUGCCACAAUAUGAACACUUUGUUGUUUCUAUGAUAUGAAAUGUUCUAUGAUUGAGUUAUUCAAUACAAGUAUGUUUUGUUUAUACAUGAUCCAUUAUUGUUAAGUCUGUGUUAAUGAUUCUAGCCAAACAGGAUGAGUAUGAAAAAGGUAGAAGAAUGAAAUUAUUUCAAAGUUCAUGUGAAUAAUGUUUUAAAAUGACAGGAAUUGAGAUUAUUCCUAUUAUUCAAGCUACUUCAUAACCUUUGUUCGAUUAUCGAAGUUCUAAAGAAAUGUUUGAAUUCUUAAAGUUGUUUGUUCAACUGCUAUGACUUGCUGGGCAAUUGAAUGCUCACACUUG